rnacentral:rRNA from 1 species
GACGGAGGGCGCAAGCGUUGUUCGGAAUUACUGGGCGUAAAGCGCGCGCAGGCGGGAAGGUAAGUCUGGAGUGAAAUUCCGGGGCUCAACUCCGGAGCUGCUUUGGAUACUGUCUUUCUAGGGACCGGUAGAGGCCGGUGGAAUUCCCGGUGUAGCGGUGGAAUGCGUAGAGAUCGGGAAGAACACCCGUGGCGAAGGCGGCCGGCUGGGCCGGGUCCGACGCUGAGGAGCGAAAGCGUGGGGAGCGAACAGG